ACGGAAGAUGGGGAUUAUCAGGUAAAGCUACGCAACCUGGUACGUUUCCUAGAAGCAGGGGAUAAGGCUAAGGUGACUUUACGUUUCCGCGGCCGUGAGAUGGCUCAUCAGGAACUGGGCAUGAACUUGUUGUUGCGGAUCGAAAAAGAUCUGGAAGAACAGGGGGUUGUUGAACAGCGUCCAAAGAUGGAAGGCCGUCAGAUGAUCAUGGUGAUCGCCCCGAAGAAGAAAAAGUAAUUUGUAAAGCAGCUUAACCCGUAUCUGCCUUUCAGGUAGUAACGGGUUUUGUCGUUUUUUCGGAUUAAAAAACUAACGAAUGCGUGGAGAGUUGUAAUGCCUA
rnacentral:misc_RNA from 1 species